UCUUUUAUCAAUCAUGAAAGCCCUAGAAGAAGCUCCGACUUACAAGCUUCCCUCCACGGUAUUCAUCUAUGACUCCGACUGAGAUCUAAUGGGAAUACCCGACCCAAAGAAACCCCCUAAUGAACUGCAUAAUUCGGUGAGACUCUUCUCUAAGGUGCUCUUUGACGCAGGCGAUGACAACCUUCGAUGGCUUGGUGGUGGUUUCUUCAAUCGAUGGCUCCAUUUGGUUCCAGUGGGUC